ensembl:ncRNA asRNA:CR45874 antisense RNA:CR45874
GCCCUGGUUCUUCUUCAGGUUCUUCCUCUUGACGCGACCGGGACGGCCGCCGCCGAAGGGCGACUUCAGGGAGAAGUCGAUGUGCUUCUGGGAGUCCAGGCGCACGACGAACGACGGGAUGUUGACCACCUGCUUGCGGACACUGUGAAAACAAACGGAAGAAGAACACCAUAUUUGGAUUAGUUAAGCUCUGCUUUAUGAUAACCAUCGGAAUGGUGGCUGCUAUGUAUGUUGGGUUCAACAAAAAACGUUCAGUGCAACUUACGCUAGGCGGGCAUUUUGCAUUUUCGAUUGGUGUGAACGGAGUCACAUGCGCAAUCUACAGACGUUGAGAGUCGGUACAAGCAUUGGCGCCUGUUCGACUCCCAAGUGGUCUUACUGAACAGAACAGAGUUUAUAUCUGAGAGAGCCUGGCGACGAUGUUGUCGCCUGUCCAAGCGAUAUUUACCGAAUGUGACGCUGACGGAUCAGGACGCGAGCAUGAUGGAUGGACUUGGCAAGUCCCAGCUUGAACACCUGCGUCUGCAGACGACGCUCCAAGAAGUCCUCAAUCUUCAGACCCAGCACGUAAUCGAGCUUCAUGCGGGACUCGUCCAGGACACCGAUACGGACCAGACGGCGCAGCAGGGCAUUACCUGUGGGUAAAAUGGGUACACAAUCAAUGGAAGUUUCAAAAUGCAAUCGCUAGUUCUAGCGAAGAAUUCUCUUCAGUGUGUAUUUGUUAACGUCAACGUAUUUUAUCAGACAAGAAGUGUCAGAAUAUAUUUUUUAAUACAGUUCAUCAGGUCAGGGCAACUAAUUGGAUUAUGCAGUCGAACUUCCUUCGCAUAUACAUACUGUCUAGACAUUUAAACAUGCAAUUUUGCAAUAUAC